GAUACAAGGAGAAGUAAUGCCUGGAUGUGAGAAAGAAAAAGAACUUCACAAAGGAUACCAGCUGAAGCUUAAGACAUAUUUCACAGGUGACUACAUGCAAAAAUGCAGCUGGACCUUUAGCUUAUACCAUACACAGAAAUUAACUCAAAAUGAGUCAGAGACCUAAAUGUAGAGCUAAAUAAGACUCUUGGCAGAAAACAUCAGGGAAAAAUUUUAUGACAUUGGAUUUGGCAAUGAUUUCUUGGCUAUGACACCAAAAGCACAGAUGAUACCAAAAGAUAAAGAUGUAACUUAAACUUCAUCAAAAUCAAAAACUUUUGUGCAUCGAAAGACACUAUCAACAGAGUGAAAAGUCAACCCACAGAAUGGGAUAAAAUACUUGCAAAUCAUAUAUCUGAUGAGGGAUUGCUAUCCAGAAUAUAUGAAGAACUCCUACAACACACAACAAAAACAAAAAAAACAAACAAUCCAAUGUGAACAUGGGAAAAAGACUUGAGAAGGCAUUUCUUUAAAG
ensembl:lncRNA novel transcript